GAUGAAGAACGUAGCGAAAUGCGAUAAGUAAUGUGAAUUGCAGAAUUCAGUGAAUCAUCGAAUCUUUGAACGCACCUUGCGCCCUUUGGCUAUUCCGAAGGGCAUGCCUGUUUGAGUAUCAUGAACACCUCAACUCUUCACGGCUUGCCGUGAUGAGUUUGGACUUUGGGGGUCUUGCUGGCCUACGAGCCAGCUCCUCUCAAAUGUAUUAGCUUGCCGGUGUUUGGUGGCAUCACAGGUGUGAUAACUAUCUACGCUUGUGGUUUUCCACUAGGUAACCUUCAGCGAUGGAGGUUCACCGGAGCUCACAAAUGUCUCUCCUUGCCAAGGACAGAUUUUGACCAUUUGAUCUCAAAUCAGGUAGGACUACCCGCUGAACUUAAGCAUAUCAAUAAGCGGAGGA
rnacentral:misc_RNA from 1 species